UACGGAGGGUGCAAGCGUUAUCCGGAUUCACUGGGUUUAAAGGGUGUGUAGGCGGGCUAUUAAGUCAGUGGUGAAAUCUCCGGGCUCAACCCGGAAACUGCCAUUGAUACUAUUAGUCUUGAAUAUCGUUGAGGUAGGCGGAAUAUAUCAUGUAGCGGUGAAAUGCAUAGAUAUGAUAUAGAACACCGAUUGCGAAGGCAGCUUGCUAAACGAUUAUUGACGCUGAGGCACGAAAGCGUGGGGAGCGAACGGG
rnacentral:rRNA from 1 species